UAAUUACCUCACCACACUGGCUUUAAUACAGCCUAUAAUGACUCUCUAGCUUGAACACGGUAAUUUAAAGCUUGUAGGACACACAUAUAUACACCAUAUUCUUUUGAUUUAGUGUGAAUCUCUUAGUAAAUAUUUCACCUUAAAUCCCAAGUCUGAAUAUUAUUAGAUUAUGGUGGUUAAAACUGUCUGCUCGCUACUCAGUGUUGGUGGAAUUUUACUGGGCUGGGGGGUUUAAAAGGCCGCACCAUGCUGAACGUCCCAUAAUAUUAACACCUAAGCGCACAGGAAAAUAAGAUAACUCACUCAGGCAGAGCAGCUGCUGAAUCACAUCGUUAGAAUCACUCAAAAUAAUCCCUGUAAGUCUACUGAUUAGUUUGUACUGAUCAGUUAAGUCUGACAUCAUGUGUUUUUUUUUUUUGUUGUUUUUUUUUUUGCAAACUAAGCAAUGCUAAUUAGAUAAAUCUAUCCCAUAAUUAGUCAGCCAUGUACUUUUAUUACUAGGCUGUCCUUAUAAGACAGUUGUCCCUGCAUUAUUUAUGUUAAUUCACUUUUCAGAGUAUACUCCAGCUAUUCAGAAACUCAUAGCUUGUUCAAAAAUGCAGAAGUGUGAUACAUUAGCUGUAAAUAAGUCUUGAGCAGAUUCAAACAAAUAAAGAGACUAAAUAUUUUAUAUAUGAAAAGAACAAAAUAAAACUUAACAAGAAUAUUUUUGGAAAAUGGUUGCCAUGGCGCUGAGAAAUAGAAAACGUAAUCCAAAAGAAGAAGCUGCAUAUUUUACAUCUACUUGUAAAGACAAACAUGGGUUUGAUGUGAAACAUAUUAAAUUACCUUUAUCUGAAUUUAUAUUUCUGUUUAAUUGCCUGUAUGUAUUUACUUGUUUUACGUGAAUGUAGUUUGAUGUGGUGUUUUCCAUUAGCAAAAAAGCAGGCCCAGGACUGAGAAAUACUGUCUUAACAUGUUCUCUGUUUCCUCAUGUUGGCCGUGAAGUAUUCAGCUGUGUCCAUUUUGAUAAGGGAGAUUUUCUUUCGCAAUACAGAGGAGACCUAAUAAGCAAACAUGAAUGUGAAAGGAGACAGAAUAUAUCAAGAUGCCCUAAAAGUAUUCAUGUUUGAAUUUCGUUACAAUGGAAAGCUUUUUUUGUGAGCAAUGGCAAUAUCACAGCAGAAAUGGAAAAACCUGGGAAGAGGACAAGAACACUGUGGUCUAAACAGGAAAUAAAGGCUGUGUUGAAACAUUUCAAGCCUCAUAUAACCAAAGGAAGACUGGCCAUGAUGUGCAGAAUGUCAGCAGUGCAGGACGCUGAGGAUCCUGUGCUGGCAGGCUGAACAAAAUAUAAGAGAUUUCGUUAGAAACAGAGGGAUCACAUUUAAAAGGAAAACCAGUCUAACUGAAGAGUUUAUAUUCAAAGACAUGCCAAAGUGUUUAAUAAAUCAUAAUUUUGUUUAGAUUUGGGUGGUUUUCGUUUACUUAUUAAAGAAUCUAGGAAAACAGAGUUUUCCCCUAGAGCCUAGUAAAUUUUCAGUUUAAAGAUAUUUUUUAUUAUUGAAAGUGUCCAGGGAUUGUUGAACACAAGGACCUGUUCCUCUUAAUCGUGCCUGUCUUGGCAAUGCAUCAAGCCAUCAUGUUUGUGUUUGUGUUUGUGUAUAGUCAAGUUCUAGUAAACCAUCAUUGUCCUUCUAUUACCGUAGAAUAGCCAUUUUUGUGUAUUGUUAUGUGUGUCCUGAUAAAGCAGGUAUGACCUUAUGAACCACAUCCUCGCCAUAGGUGGGACAUUUUCAGCGUGUCCCCAUAUGCAAGCAUAAUGUCAGGUUGAUAUGUUAAGAGUUUAAUUUUGUCUAGAAGAAAUCUGAAGUGAUAUUCGUGUUCUGUAAAAAAAAAAAAAAAAAAAAAUCAAAUUUUCUGAUGUUUCCAGCAUCUCUCUAGAGCAAAGGAAAGGAGGGUCCCUGUUCUGUGUGAACUGGUGUUACCGAACGGUGCAAGGUGCUCAUGACCCCAGCUAUGACACUUCAGGUGUUUCAGCACCUGGUGAGGCCUUGGCGCACUGUGUGAGUUGAAGCCCUGGAACACAGUGGAUAAUACCGAGACUCUCAGGCCAAGCCAAAGCACACUCGACCACAGCCGCAAGAAAGAGAACAUCAGAACCCUCUGAUCAGCAUUUGAAGCUCAAACCCUCCGGUCCCUGUGGUGAUCAGGUAAACAAGAAGGAGGAAUGGGGUAUAACAGAAGAAAGUAAGAGUCCCACCUUUCAGUGGGCAAUGUGGAAGCGGACAGGAAGACUUCAGACCUGGGCCAGCGUGGUCCCAAAUCUCUGCAGUGAGACAUUUUCUCUCCUCCUUUCUUUUGUCUUGCUCAUUACUUUUUCGGACACCUUUUUGUUUUAAGGGAAAGAAAGCGAGAAAAGGGAGGAGGGGAAGGUUUCUGAAAAUGAAAGCAAAACAUGAAACUUUUAACAUUGUUGUGACAAUUUGCUCAUCCCCACAAGGAGAAAUUGCUUUAGGCAGAAGUUUUUAUAGGUUACUAAAGGUUAAGGUAGUGGAUAUGUUUGCAGAAAAAAAAAAAAAAAAAA